rnacentral:rRNA from 1 species
CCUACGGGUGACUGCAGUCGAGAAUCAUUCACAAUGGGGGAAACCCUGAUGGUGCGACGCCGCGUGGGGGAAUGAAGGUCUUCGGAUUGUAAACCCCUGUCAUGUGGGAGCAAAUUAAAAAGAUAGUACCACAAGAGGAAGAGACGGCUAACUCUGUGCCAGCAGCCGCGGUACUACAGCGGUCUCAAGCGUUGUUAGGAAUCACUGGGCGUAAAGCGUGCGUAGGCUGUUUCGUAAGUCAUGUGUGAAAGGCGCGGGCUCAACCCGCGGACGGCACAUGAUACUGGGAGACUAGAGUAAUGGAGGGGGAAGCGGAAUUCGCGGUGUAGCAGUGAAAUGCGUAGAUAUCGAGAGGAACACUCGUGGCGAAGGCGGGUUCCUGGACAUUAACUGACGCUGAGGCACGAAGGCCAGGGGAGCGAAAGGGAUUAGAUACCCUUGUAGUC